rnacentral:rRNA from 1 species
UGGUUAUUGACUGAUCAGCCCGUUUUGUUGGUGCAUUGGGUCAAUAGCUUAUCUGCCGUGGGUUUUGGUUGGCCGAUUUUGGGCCAACUAAGGCUGAGGGCUCCGCGUAAGCGUGAGGACGGCAGAGGGACGACGCGAUUCGACCCGUCUUGAAACACGGACCAAGGAGUCUAGCGCAGCUGCGAGUCAAAGGGUGUUAAAACCUGAGGGCGCAGUGAAAGCAAGUUUUUAAAACGAGCAGUUUGAGGCGGCAUACAAUCGUUGAUUGUAGGUCCGACCUAUAGCAGUUGCGCUGGGACCCGAAAGAUGGUGAACUAUGCCGGAGUAGGGCGAAGCCAGAGGAAACUCUGGUGGAGGCUCGUAGCGGUGCUGACGUGCAAAUCGCUCGUCCAACUCGGGUAUAGGGGCGAAAGACUAAUCGAACCAUCUAGUAGCUGGUUCCCUCCGAAGUUUCUCUCAGGAUAGCGGGCCGACUGACGUUGUUUUGUGCGGUAAAGCGAAUGAUUAGCGCACUCGGGGAUGCUUAGUCUUCGGGCGAUUCUCAAACUUUCAAUGCGCAAGGGUGCCGCUGCUUUGUUGAGCGGCACCGGCAAAAACGU